UUUCCGUAGGUGAACCUGCGGAAGGAUCAUUAUUGAAUUAUGUUUUCUAGGUGGGUUGUAGCUGGCUCCUAGGAGCAUGUGCACGCCUGUCUAGACUUCAUUUUCAUCCACCUGUGCACCUUUUGUAGUCUUUGUUGGGUAUGGGGGAAGUGGUCAGCCUUAUCAGCUCUUGCUGGAUAUGAGGACUUGCAGUGUGAAAGCAGUGCUGUCCGCUACUUGGCCAUGGAACCUGUUUCCCGUCAGAGUCUAUGUUGUUCAUUAUACCCUAUAAAAUGUUAUUGAAUGUCUUUACAUGGGCUUCUAUGCCUAUGAAAAUUGUAAUACAACUUUCAGCAACGGAUCUCUUGGCUCUCGCAUCGAUGAAGAACGCAGCGAAAUGCGAUAAGUAAUGUGAAUUGCAGAAUUCAGUGAAUCAUCGAAUCUUUGAACGCAUCUUGCGCUCCUUGGUAUUCCGAGGAGCAUGCCUGUUUGAGUGUCAUUAAAUUCUCAACUCUCCUAUACUUUGUUGUAAAGGAGGGCUUGGACUGUGGAGGCUUGCUGGCCGCUCUUGCUGUGGUCAGCUCCUCUGAAAUGCAUUAGCAGAACUGUUUGCGAUCUGCCACAAGUGUGAUAAAUUAUCUACACUAGCGAGGGGAUUGCUCUCUGUGUUCAGCUUCUAAUCGUCUUCAGUGACAAUUUCUUGAAUGCUUGACCUCAAAUCAGGUAGGACUACCCGCUGAACUUAA
rnacentral:rRNA from 1 species